rnacentral:rRNA from 1 species
CCCGGGGAACUGAAACAUCUAAGUACCCGGAGGAAAGGAAAUCAACAGAGACUCCGUUAGUAGUGGCGAGCGAACGCGGACCAGCCGAGCCUUGAAGAGCGAGUGGAAUGGUCUGGAAAAGGCCAGCGACAUGGGUGACAGCCCCGUACACGAAGUUCCAUGGGACAUAUCAAGUAGGGCGGGACACGUGUAAUCCUGUCUGAAGAUCGGGGGACCACCCCCGAAGGCUAAGUACUCCUUGCUGACCGAUAGCGAACCAGUACCGUGAGGGAAAGGUGAAAAGCACCCCGACGAGGGGAGUGAAACAGUACCUGAAACCGGACGCCUACAAGCAGUCGGAGGGGCCUUGAGCCCUGACGGCGUACCUUUUGUAUAAUGGGUCAACGACUUGGUCUUACGAGCGAGCUUAAGCCGAUAGGUGUAGGCGCAGCGAAAGCGAGUCUUAAAAGGGCGCAUGAGUUCGUGGGAUCAGACCGAAACCAGGUGAUCUAGCCAUGAGCAGGAU